CAGAACUGACUAAUUAAAUCUUUGUUUGCUGUUCGGUUAAAUAGAGAAACUGACUCUUAAUUAUAUAAAAGUACCUUGAAUUUUUAAGUUUAAUUAAAAAGCAAAAUGCACACUCUGCGGACAUGUUCAUGAGAAUAUAAUUUUUUUGUGACGAAAUCUACAACACUUGUCAAUCAUAUUGCAUGUUGUGUCUAAAAAUAACAUGUGGGCGUCCCACGGUCUAGACAGGUUUUGUGUCAGGCCCUAUUUCAAAUUAGGGCCUGAACUUCAGGUUAUAUAUGAUGGUGCAUAAACUUGUAAUGAGGAAAUAAUAAUUAAAACAGUAAUCCAUGCAAUCUUGAAUUUGAAAGUGCUGUGAAUACUCGGUUACAAUUGUAACGCGUUACAGGCUAGUUGUUACGUUUGCAGUAAUUUCAGCCUGUAGGCCUAAGUAGUUACGUUUUUGAAAAGGAACGAAUUAUUGUAAUUAAUUACAAAAUAAACGAAUGAAAAUUACAAAUUCCUUUGAUCAAAUAAUUUAAAAACGC
rnacentral:lncRNA from 1 species